rnacentral:sRNA from 1 species
CGGAAUCCCAGCUCCACUUACCAGGCCGCGGCUACCCCGUCGCCCCCGCCACUCCCGCCACCCCGCUCUCCCAGGCUCUUCAGGAUCCAAGUUUGUAGGCCCUUUAAGGGGUCUAGUUGCCCUUUGCGGGGCCCUGGGACUUUGGUCCCAGACAGGGGGGAUCCGGAUGGCUUCCGUGCGGAUCCGAGAGGCCAAGGAGGGAGACUGUGGGGAUAUCCUGAGGUUGAUUCGGGUGAAGACUGUGGGCCGGAACUAGCCGAGUUCGAAAAACUCUCGGAUCAGGUGAAGAUCAGUGAGGAAGCCCUGAGAGCAGAUGGCUUUGGAGAGAAUCCUUUCUAUCACUGUUUGGUAGCAGAGAUUCUUCCAGCGCCCGGGGAGCUACUGGGUCAAGGGAUUGGUUCCAAAAUAAUCAAAAAGGUGGCUGAGGUGAGGAGAGGGGUGGGGGCGACAAGUGAGGACCUGAAGAGGCAAGGGUGGCCUUGGAUAAGGGCUGCUCCCAAUUCCGCCUGGCCGUCCUGGACUGGAACCAGAGGGCUAUGGACUUGUACAAGGCCUUAGGAGCCCAAGAUCUGACGGAAGCUGAGGGCUGGCACUUCUUCUGCUUUCAAGGAGAGGCAAUGAGAAAGUUGGCAGGAAAGUGACGCCAUCCCUAGGGGGAUCUCUCUCUUGAGUUUCUCCUUCCCCA